CGGCUUCCUAUCUUCUGGAGAUCCAACUGUAUCCAUAUAGCAGGUAGUGUUCAUUUUCCGAUUCUUCUCAAUCGAUCCCUUUUUGUUGUAAAUUCUGCAUAGAACCCAAUCAUCUAGCUGUAAACAAAAUACAAACCGUCAAAAAUCAAUCGAAAACACAGUCUAAAUCGUCAAAACAAUGAAUCUGUUCUGUACUCACCCUUAAGCUAUUGUUGUUCUUACGAGCAGAUCGAUCAACAUCAGCAAGACGAUAUUCAUGCAUGAUCCAAUUAGUCUUCUCUCCUUUAGGUGCCUUACCAGAAUAAAACACCAAUGCUUUCUUAAUUCCCACCGCUUUCGGAAUUCCAAUCGGCUUAUCCGCACCAGUAGCCUUCCAAUAUCCACUUCCAGCAGCUCGAUUCGGUCGUGAACCGUUCGGAUACUUCCGAUCUCGAGGUGAAAAGAAGUACCACUCUUUCUCUCCAUACAAUGCCAAAUCUAAAACACGAACACAAAAUUUAAUCAACACAAAUCCCCAAUUUCAUCAUUUCAACUGUUCACUACUAACAAAAACUAAAUUACCAGGAAGAUCCCAUGGAUCAAACUUGUAGAGAUCAAUUUCAGCUACAAUUGGUACAGUAAUUGGCUGGGAAGUGCAUUUUCGGCAUAAAUAAUGCGUCACAAGUUCUUCAUCAGUUGGAUGAAAUCUGAAUCCUGGAGGUAACUGCAAUUCAGCUGCUGUCAUUUUUCUUUUUUCUUUUAAAUAUAAAUUUCUGUUUUUAGUAUAAAUACAGAGUAUCUGAAUGAUUUCUGAAUUCUGAAUAGAAGAGAAGGAAUAGGAAAAGGGUUGAAAGUUGAAACUUAGGUCACAAGGGAGAGAACUAAAUAUAUAGAAAACGGAAGAAGGACACGUGGCGAAGAUAAGCUAAACGGAUCUAGAAAAAACGUGUUAAAAUAAUUAGAAAUAAAAUGUAAAAUUGAAAAUUAUAUUAAAAAAGAGUGGACACGUAUGCAAAAAUUGAGUUUGAGGGGGUAGGUGAGGGGGUGGGGGUGCAUUUGGUCACUGCUUACGCACUGCUUUUUGGACACAAGUGUCGAAAGGGACUAGGUGGCUCGGCGGGUUCAUGGAAGUUUCUGGUUCGGUUUUGGUUCGGGAGGAUCAGGCUCGGGAAGUUGACACGUAUACCAGGUAGAUGCACGCUCGGUAAUUUUGUGUCGUUACUUACGACAAAAAUGUGGGGGGCCACUUUAUUUUUUUAUAUUUUAUAAUUAAGUAAAUAAAAUAAAUUUAAAUUUAAAAAAAUGGAUGUGGAACUUUUAUGGUGUGAAGGUGGUAGUUGGAAUUGAUGAGAAGGAGAUGAACUAAUGUGUCAAUGAUUAGUGAAUUAACGUUGCUAGGAGUGACACAUAUACUAAUGAAUUUAUUAAGAUUGUAAAAAAACAAAAAACAAAAAAAAUAAAAAUGAAUGUAUUUAAAGAAAAAGAAAAACUAAUUUUUGUGAUUCUUUAAAGUAAACUUCAAUUAAAGAUGAAGAAAUUUGAUAUAUUUUAUGUUUUUUUUUAUCUAUCGUGGAAUAUCUAAGUUUGAUAAGGCCUCAUUUAGCAGGAAGCACGUCUACUAAGAAUUUUUUUCUAAUUUCUGAUUGAGAAAAGAAGCGGUCUCAUUCAGAAUAACACAUCUUUGCUAUUGUUAUUUUCCUAUCUAUUUGCGAUUCCUUAAAGUAAAAAGGUGUAAGCAUAUUCUUUAGAUGAUUUUGUAUAAUCAAUUUGCAGGAAUGAGAAAGAAAAAAAAAAGAACAAUGUUUGGUUUGUUUACACCUUUCGUAAUCAGAAUAUAGUUACUCAACAAUUAUUUUAUUGUGAA
rnacentral:lncRNA from 1 species